rnacentral:rRNA from 1 species
CCCUUAGAUGUCCUGGGCCGCACGCGCGCUACACUGAUGCAUGCAACGAGUUUAUAACCUUGGCCUGAAAGGUCUGGGUAAUCUUUUGAACGUGCAUCGUGAUAGGGAUAGAUUAUUGCAAUUGUUAAUCUUGAACGAGGAAUUCCUAGUAAACGCGAGUCAUCAGCUCGCAUUGAUUACGUCCCUGCCCUUUGUACACACCGCCCGUCGCACCUACCGAUUGAAUGGUUCGGUGAAGAUCUCGGACUUCGAUAUUUAUUCUUUAUUGAGUUUAUAUUGUGGGAAGUUAUCUAAACCUCAUCAUUUAGAGGAAGGUGAAGUUGUAACA